rnacentral:rRNA from 1 species
GCCAAAAAUAUAGCCCGUACUACCCAAUGAAUCCCCACACCUCACCCUUUAAAUUAAAACAUUUUAUAGAUCUAGUAAAGGCGAUUGAACCCCCCCCCCGGAGCAUGAAAAGUACCGCAAGGGAAAAUUGAAAUAAAAAUGAAAUAAAUAUUAAGCACAAAACAGUAGAGAUUAAUUCUCGUACCUUUUGCAUCAUGAUUUAACAAGUCUAAUCAAGCAUAAUGAUCUAUAGUUUGACCCCCCGAAACUAAGUGAGCUACUUCAGGGCAGCUUACUGAGCUAAGCCGUCUCUGUUGCAAAAGAGUGGCAUGACCCUCGAGUAGAAGUGAUAAGCCUAACGAACUUAGUGAUAGCUGGUUACUUAAGAAAAAGAUUUUAGUCUUGCCUAAAGUUUUAAUAAUUCAACAAAAUAAAAUUUCAACUUUAGAGUAAUUCAAAUAGGGUACAGCCUAUUUGAAAAAGGAUACAACCUAAACCAAUGGGUAAUACUACAACCACAUAACCAAGUGGGCCUAAAAGCAGCCACCUUCAAGAUAGCCUCAAAGCUCUAUCAUUGCCCCCCCCCCCCCAAUCCCUUAAAACAAACCGAACCCUUUAUUUAUAUUAAGUAAUUCUAUACUGUUAUAGAAUCUAUAAUGUUAAAACGAGUAACAAGAAGAUGACCUUCUCUUAAAUGCAAGCAUAAGUCAGCAAGGACCCACCACUGACAAUUAACAUCCAUGAGAUUAUAUUAGCAACUCCUCAAAGAAAACCCUAGUAAAUUUUAUGUUAACCUAACACAAGAGCAUUAAAAGAAAGAUUGAAAAAAAAGGAAGGAACUCGGCAAAUAAUAACCCCGCCUGUUUACCAAAAACAUCGCCUCUUGAAUCAUUAUAAGAGGUCCAGCCUGCCCAGUGAUUUAUUCAACGGCCGCGGUAUCUUGACCGCGCGAAGGUAGCAUAAUCAAUUGUUCUUUAAAUGGGGACUUGUAUGAAUGGCACCACGAAGGUUGUACUGUCUCCUUUUUUUAAUCAGUGAAACUAAUCUCCCCGUGAAGAAGCGGGGAUAACAGUAUAAGACGAGAAGACCCUAUGGAGCUUCAAACAAAUAACAAGUAUUAUCCAUGCUUAAACCCUUUCAGAAUGAAAACCUUCAUUUUUAUACCAUGAUUAACAGUUUUGGGUUGGGGCGACCGCGGAGUAAAAACCAACCUCCACAAUGAAAGAAUUAAACCUCUGAACCAAAAGCCACAACUUUAAGUACCAAUAAAUUGACAUUUCUUGACCCAAUAUUUUGAUCAAUGAACCAAGUUACCCUAGGGAUAACAGCGCAAUCUGCUUCAAGAGUCCUUAUCAAAAAGUUAGGCUUACGACCUCGAUGUUGGAUCAGGGUAUCCUAGUGGUGCAGCCGCUACUGAAGGUUCGUUUGUUC